rnacentral:misc_RNA from 1 species
UGAGGAAUUCCAGUUUGAUUUAGACUGUGAGGAUGGAGAAUUAGAUUAUAACUCAGGUAUGGCAGCGGAUCAGUGUUUGGGCUGGUCACAUUACCAGCUUGGUGGACUUGGAAGCCUGCAUGGACGCAAUCCACUCUCGAAAUUGGAGGAAAGCAUUGAAGAGGAGGGAGAAGAUAGUGGAGGGGAGGAGCAAGGAGAAACAGCUACCUUUCUACCUUCUGAACCAGUUUCUGUUGUGUCAAAGCUUUCCAUGUCUCUCAAGAAUACCAUACUGGGCGAUAAGAAUCAGAAAAACCAAAAGUACCAGGUCACAAAACCUGAAUGUGGAUACAUUACCAACACAUCUGCAGGACACAGGAGUGCAAAUGAGCAGUUUCCUCCAAGUGUCAGCUUUGUUAAGCUUGGGGAUAUGAACGAGGAAGAGUGGUCACUUUUUCUGGAUAAAUUUCCAGAGCUGCUUCGUCCAGCAUUUGCCAAACGCAAAUCUGCGGCAGUGGGGCAGAGGCAG